UACGUAGGUGGCAAGCGUUGUCCGGAUUUACUGGGCGUAAAGAGCGCGCAGGCGGUCGGCCAAGUCGAGUGUGGAAGCCCCCGGCUCAACUGGGGAGGGUCAUUCGAUACUGGUCGACUCGAAGGCAGGAGAGGGAAGCGGAAUUCCCGGUGUAGUGGUGAAAUGCGUAGAUAUCGGGAGGAACACCAGUGGCGAAGGCGGCUUCCUGGCCUGUUCUUGACGCUGAGGCGCGAAAGCUAGGGGAGCAAACGGG
rnacentral:rRNA from 1 species